UAGUGUUGAGGCUUCAUGAAAUGUGAUGC
rnacentral:piRNA from 1 species